UUAAAUGCGUUGAGGAAAAGGAGUAGCAGAUAACCCCUUAUAGAGAAAGAGGGAUGGUGGAAGCCUCUUAGGAAGGUAUUUGUGAAGGUAGUUUCUAAGCAGCCGUGGUAAAAAAUGGAUUAUCCAAUUAGCCGCAGACGUUUCAUCCCCGUUACAGGAUAAGAUAAGUGAUAAAGAAAGGUGGUACCGCGAUAUAUUCGCCCUUUGU
rnacentral:ncRNA from 1 species